rnacentral:rRNA from 1 species
CGGAAAGGAUGAGUGCUAGUGUUAGGGGUUUUGAUGACCCCUUGGUGCUCGCAAGCUAACAGCAUUAAGCACUCCGCCUGGGGAGUACGGUCGCAAGACUGAAACUCAAAGGAAUUGACGGGGGCCCGCACAAGCGGUGGAGCAUGUGGUUUAAUUCGAAGCAACGCGAAGAACCUUACCAGGUCUUGACAUCCUCUGACAAUCCUAGAAAUAGGACGUCCCCUUCGGGGGCAAAGUGACAGGUGGUGCAUGGUUGUCGUCAGCUCGUGUCGUGAGAUGUUGGGUUAAGUCCCGCAACGAGCGCAACCCUUGAUCUUAGUUGCCAGCAUUUAGUUGGGCACUCUAAGGUGACUGCCGGUGACAAACCGGAAGAAGGUGGGGAUGACGUCAAAUCAUCAUGCCCCUUAUGACCUGGGCUACACACGUGCUACAAUGGACAGAACAAAGGGCAACGAAACCGCGAGGUUAAACCAAUCCCACAAAUCUGUUCUCAGUUCGGAUCGCACUCUGCAACUCUACUGCGUGAAGCUGGAAUCUUUAGUAAUCUCGGAUCUCCAUGCCGCGGUGAAUACGUUCCCGGGCCUUGUACACACCGCCCGUCACACCACGAGAGUUUGUAACACCCCAAGUUGGUGAGGUAACGGCUCACCAAGGCGACGAUGCGUAGCCGACCUGAGAGGGUGAUCGGCCACACUUGAGACACGGCCCAGACUCUUACGGGAGGCAGCAGUAGGGAAUCUUCUGCAAUGGACGAAAGUCUGACGGAGCAACGCCGCGUGAGUGAUGAAGGUUUUCGGAUCGUAAAGCUCUGUUGUUAGGGAAGAACAAGUACCGUUCGAAUAGGGCGGUACCUUGACGGUACCUAACCAGAAAGCCACGGCUAACUACGUGCCCGCAGCCGCGGUAAUACGUAGGUGGCCAGCGUUGUCCGGAAUUAUUGGGCGUAAAGGGCUCGCCGGCGGUUUCUUAAGUUUGAUGUGAAAGCCCCCGGCUCAACCGGGGAGUGUCAUUGGAAACUGGGGAACUUGAGUGCAGAAGAGGAGAGUGGAAUUCCACGUGUAGCGGUGAAAUGCGUAGAGAUGUGGAGGAACACCAGUGGCGAAGGCGACUCUCUGGUCUGUAACUGACGCUGAGGCGCGAAAGCGUGGGGAGCGAACAGGAUUAGAUACCUCUGGUAGUCCACGCCGUAAACGAUGAGUGCUAAGUGUUA